CUACAAGUGCUGGAAAUACAGACAAAUCACCAGUUACAAGUCAAGCCUCACAACUGUCUGUUUUUUUAAAGACAUGAAUUUUGCUUCACUUCUGCCAUGAGAUUGGUAUCUGUAACUUCAGGGUUUCUUUGCCCUGAGCUCAGGCUCACAGGCUUGUUUAUUCUGGCUGCGUACCACUCUGCUGCUCUGUACCUCAGUAGUUAUGCCUCCUGCAAGCCAUCAGGUGGCGCUAUCCUGCAGAGUCUUUGAGGGAACGCGACAUUGUCUGGUACGAGAA